rnacentral:rRNA from 1 species
GACGUAGGGCGCGAGCGUUGUCCGGAUUUAUUGGGCGUAAAGAGCUCGUAGGCGGUGUGUCGCGUCGGCCGUGAAAACCUGGGGCUUAACUCUGGGCGUGCGGUCGAUACGGGCAUCACUAGAGUUCGGCAGGGGAGACUGGAAUUCCUGGUGUAGCGGUGAAAUGCGCAGAUAUCAGGAGGAACACCAGCGGCGAAGGCGGCGCUCUGGGCCGGAACUGACGCUGAGGAGCGAAAGCGUGGGGAGCAAACAGG